UCUGUGAGGUUCUGUUUGAACCCCUGUGGCUCUUCCAGAUCGAUUCUAUACUUCUGUGUGGCAAAUAGGUUUCGAAUCUGAUCCACGGGGGUCCUGGAGUGCUCGACUGAGGAUUCUAAGACCACUUCAGGGCUCAGCAGCAGACGGUGCCAUGUGCCUGCCUCAGAACUGAGAAGCGAUUUUUACAUCCGCGCUUUCUGACUGACUAAGAGUUCACAGAGCUUUCCUACCACUGAGAAGGCGAUUCCAUUGGUCUAAGAACCCAUCUCUGCACCUCUGCCUGGUUCCUCUGCAGUGGGAUGAAGUGGAAUGGAUUUGGGUUCAAAAUGACCUAGAUUCAAACCUCAGCUCCAAUGCUUACUGGAUGUGUGACUCUGGUUAAGAUAAUCCCGCUUGAGCGAUGAAAAUGAUUGGUUCAUAGUGCUCCCUCAGUAGAGUCAAGGGCAAGCUCAGGAAUUGAAAAUGGCUGUUUCAUCAUUGGAGAGGAAGAAGGAUGUUAUCAGCGCAUUAGCAUCUCUACAGUCAAGCUGAAGUGUGAUUGACUCUGGGCAGUUUGAUCAAUCAAGGUGGUCAACAGGAAGUUAUUUCCUCAAAUAUCGACGUCCUAUGUUUGAAUUGACUACUCUAUCUACCCUCUCAGAGUUUCAGGACACGUCCCCCCGCCACUUUCCGCUUCUGGCAUAUGGUGGUAACAGCUCCCAGUUAUUGCUAGACCCUGAGUGCUGCCACAUCCUUGGAGGAUAGCCCUACCUGCACAGCUGUACAUGAUCCUUUUAUUAAACAAUAAAUGAUAUCAAUUACCC
rnacentral:lncRNA from 1 species